GAGAAAGACAUGAUGGUUAUGAAGUUGGCUUGAAACCAGCUGUAGGGGGUUCGAAUCCUUCCUUUCUUA
rnacentral:tRNA from 2 species